rnacentral:rRNA from 1 species
CGCCUCUUGCAAAAUUAACGAAUAAGAGGUCCCGCCUGCCCUGUGACUAUAUGUUUAACGGCCGCGGUAUUUUGACCGUGCGAAGGUAGCGCAAUCACUUGUCUUUUAAAUGGAGACCUGUAUGAAUGGCACAACGAGGGCCUAACUGUCUCCUUUUUCAGGUCAAUGAAAUUGAUCUUCCCGUGCAGAAGCGGAAAUAACCACAUAAGACGAGAAGACCCUAUGGAGCUUUAGACAAAAGACAGACCAUGUUAAGCACCUUCAAAUAAGAAACCAAACUCGAUGUUUACUGCCCUAAUGUCUUUGGUUGGGGUGACCGCGGCGAAAUAAGUAACCCCCGUGUAGAAAGAGGGCUCACUCCCUUCGAAUCAAGAGCUUCCGCUCAAAUGAACAGAACAUCUGACUAAAAUAAGAUCCGGCAACGCCGAUCAACGGACCGAGUUACCCUAGGGAUAACAGCGCAAUCCCCUUCUAGAGCCCAUAUCGACAAGGGGGUUUACGACCUCGAUGUUGGAUCAGGACAUCCUAAUGGUGCAGCCGCUAUUAAGGGUUCGUUUGUUCAACGAUUAAAGUCCU